GGGGGCGUAAAGGUUUCGACGGGGAGUUUGAGAUGUGAUAAGCGUGCAGAAGAGCGUGACUUCUAUAAAAAACGUAUUUUUAAAAACAAACGACAACAAUAAAGUUGCUUUAGCUGCCUAAUUUAGGCGGCCGUCAUAUUCGGGAGUACUGCGGCCCGAAAUAUGGCGUCACCUAGCAGUGAACGUGAGUGAGCGAAAGCUUUGACGCACACCAUGAUUUUAUGAAGCUACUAAGUUGUAUAGCUUGACGGUUAGCGCUACAGCGAGGGAAUGUAAAUGAUCGUCUGCGCACGGAGAAGUUUGCAAGGAUGGCUUUUCGGACAGGGGUUCGAUUCCCCUCGCCUCCACCA
rnacentral:tmRNA from 1 species